AACACUUUUUUUUUUUUUUUUUUUACAUGCAUCACUAUCAUGGCUAGACUAUAGGGAUUUCACAUGCACGGUCUUUCCAGAUUUUUCCAACACAUUCCGUGGGGCUUUAAAAUCGCGCAUGCACAUGUUCAAAGGCAUACAUGGAUCAUUCGUGUGAUAAACAAUGGCUACUGCGUGCCCAGAUGAAGUCCCAAACCCAUUUCCCGAGCUUACCACUCCAGUAAGUCUGUUAAUGGUAACAUUUAUGGCACUAUGGCCAAACAAUAGGUCCCUGUUUUCAAUGUAAUGUUUUCUCACCACCAGACCACCGCGUCACCUGCCAGGGAAGAAGGGUCUAGAGUGUACAUUUCCCCCUCUGAACAUUCUGUAAGGCAGAGGGUGCGUUUUUCUGUUGUCUCAUGUCAAGAACUUAUGGCGGAAGCGGAAAAGUAUAAAAGGCAUUACCAUAUCCUCGUCUAUGUGUUCCUGGCGGUUGUUUUUGCUGCUAUUCUAUUUUUAUUCUUACUCAGCCUACAUUGUUAUCUGAAUUGUUAAGAGUCAAUUGUUUCCAAAUUCUUGUUGGCUAUUAAAAUGUUAUUUUGUGUGUACAUUUUGUCAUACCACUCGCAUUUGUUUAACGCCAUCGGGUGAAA